rnacentral:piRNA from 1 species
UGAGAUGUUAAGUGGUGGAUUUGGGAUG